GAAAGAAGGUUAUAAAUAUGCUUAGUCUACUUUGCUGUCAUUUACAUUAACAAUGAAAAAAAUCUAUGUCCAUGUGCAAUUUUAUAUACAUAUUUUCACCACACACUUUUUGGUGGCUACACUCCUCACAGACCUCAGGACCUAAAUGGAAGAAGUGGUUGGGCCAUGCUUUCCUUUCUCCUUUGCAGCUUUCACCAGUACUUCCACUAACCUUCUCCAGUUAGUAGCUCUCUGGCAAACCUCCUGCUUCACUUCCUUGGGCCAAUCUUGGCUUACAUCUCCGUGGACGUCUGCUUCGUUGCAUUUGAGGGAAAUGUUGGCAUCGAUUUGACUUAAACCUUCUCCCCAGAGUGAUUUCCUCCCUUUCCUUUGUCAACAGAAGAAUGGUUUAUUAUUGCCAGUUUUGGCCUCCUCAGUGCCCUCACACUCUGCUACAUGAUCAUCAGAGCCACAGCUAGCUUGAAUGCUAAUGAGGUAGAAUGGUUUUGAAGAAGAAAAAACCUGCUUUCUGACUGAUUUUGCCUUGAAGGAAAAAAGAACCUAUUUUUGUGCAUCAUUUACCAAUCAUGCCACACAAGCAUUUAUUUUUAGUACAUUUUAUUUUUUCAUAAAAUUGCUAAUGCCAAAGCUUUGUAUUAAAAUAAAUAAAUAAUAAAAUAAAA
rnacentral:sRNA from 1 species